GAUGAACGCUGGCGGCGUGCCUAAUACAUGCAAGUCGAGCGAACAGACGAGGAGCUUGCUCCUCUGACGUUAGCGGCGGACGGGUGAGUAACACGUGGAUAACCUACCUAUAAGACUGGGAUAACUUCGGGAAACCGGAGCUAAUACCGGAUAAUAUAUUGAACCGCAUGGUUCAAUAGUGAACGACGGUUUUGCUGUCACUUAUAGAUGGAUCCGCGCCGCAUUAGCUAGUUGGUAAGGUAACGGCUUACCAAGGCAACGAUGCGUAGCCGACCUGAGAGGGUGAUCGGCCACACUGGAACUGAGACACGGUCCAGACUCCUACGGGAGGCAGCAGUAGGGAAUCCUCCGCAAUGGGCGAAAGCCUGACGGAGCAACGCCGCGUGAGUGAUGAAGGUCUUCGGAUCGUAAAACUCUGUUAUUAGGGAAGAACAAAUGUGUAAGUAACUAUGCACGUCUUGACGGUACCUAAUCAGAAAGCCACGGCUAACUACGUG
rnacentral:rRNA from 1 species